UAAUACAUGCAAGUACGAGCCGCGCCCUUCGGGGUGAGCGGCGGACGGGUGAGUAACGCGUGGGAAUAUGCCCUUCUCUAAGGAAUAGCCUCUGGAAACGGAGAGUAAUACCUUAUACGCCCUUUGGGGGAAAGAUUUAUCGGAGAAGGAUUAGCCCGCGUUAGAUUAGGUAGUUGGUGGGGUAAUGGCCUACCAAGCCUACGAUCUAUAGCUGGUUUGAGAGGAUGAUCAGCCACACUGGGACUGAGACACGGCCCAGACUCCUACGGGAGGCAGCAGUAGGGAAUCUUAGACAAUGGGGGCAACCCUGAUCUAGCCAUGCCGCGUGUGUGAUGAAGGCCCUAGGGUCGUAAAGCACUUUCGCCAGAGAUGAUAAUGACAGUAUCUGGUAAAGAAACCCCGGCUAACUCCGUGCCAGCAGCCGCGGUAAUACGGAGGGGGUUAGCGUUGUUCGGAAUUACUGGGCGUAAAGCGCACGUAGGCGGAUUAGUAAGUUAGAGGUGAAAUCCCAGGGCUCAACCCUGGAACUGCCUUUAAUACUGCUAGUCUUGAGUUCGAGAGAGGUAAGUGGAAUUCCGAGUGUAGAGGUGAAAUUCGU
rnacentral:rRNA from 1 species